CAAUAGCGUAUAUUAAAGUUGUUGCGGUUAAAAAGCUCGUAGUUGGAUUUCUGCCGAGGACGACCGGUCCGCCCUCUGGGUGUGUAUCUGGUUUGGCCUGGGCAUCUUCUUGGAGAACGUAGCUGCACUUGACUGUGUGGUGCGGUGUCCAGGACUUUUACUUUGAGGAAAUUAGAGUGUUCCAGGCAGGCUUUGCUUGAAUACAUCAGCAUGGAAUAAUGGAAUAGGACAGGUCAAUUUUAUUGGUUAUUUGACUUGUAAUGAUUAACAGGGACAGUUGGGGGCGUUUGUAUUCAAUAGUCAGAGGUGAAAUUCUUGGAUUUGUUGAAGACAAACUAAAGCGAAAGCAUUCGCCAAGGAUGUUUUCAUUAA
rnacentral:rRNA from 1 species